rnacentral:rRNA from 1 species
GGCGCAAGCCUGAUCUAGCCAUGCCGCGUGUGUGAUGAAGGCCUUAGGGUCGUAAAGCACUUUCGCCAGAGAUGAUAAUGACAGUAUCUGGUAAAGAAACCCCGGCUAACUCCGUGCCAGCAGCCGCGGUAAUACGGAGGGGGUUAGCGUUGUUCGGAAUUACUGGGCGUAAAGCGCACGUAGGCGGACUGGAAAGUUGGGGGUGAAAUCCCAGGGCUCAACCCUGGAACUGCCUCCAAAACUAUCAGUCUAGAGUUCGAGAGAGGUGAGUGGAAUUCCGAGUGUAGAGGUGAAAUUCGUAGAUAUUCGGAGGAACACCAGUGGCGAAGGCGGCUCACUGGCUCGAUACUGUCGCUGAGGUGCGAAAGUGUGGGGAGCAAACAGGAUUAGAUACCCUGGUAGUCCACACCGUAAACGAUGAAUGCCAGUCGUCGGGUUGCAUGCAAUUCGGUGACACACCUAACGGAUUAAGCAUUCCGC